rnacentral:tRNA from 1 species
GCCCAGCUGGCUUAGUUGGUGGAGCAUGUGACUCUUGAUCACAUGGUUGUGAGUUUGAGCUCCAUGUUGGGUG